rnacentral:lncRNA from 1 species
UUGUUAAAUCUAAGAAGGCCUUAGAUGAUUAAUCCAUGUUGUGUGAGCUGACUUGGUGUGCAAGCUGGCCAAAAGUGAAGGAAUAACUAAUUGCUUGAGAAGCAAGUUAGUUAGUUUGUUAGGGAAGUUUGUUAAGAGAGUUUGUUAAAUUCAGUUUGAUUUGUUUUACCUAGGUAGUUAAAGUGUUUUAGAGUCAGUUAGGAAUUAGUUAGUUGGUUAGAGCCUAGGAGAAUCAUCAAAAUGUGAUGAUCUAGUGUUAGUAUAAAUAAGGCUCAUGAUUAGUGAUUGUAAUCAACUUUUCUUUCCCCAUUAAGGAUGAAUAAAACUGACUCCUAUUUUCUCUAAUCUUCUUCUUCCUUCUCCUCUGUAAAUCGUGUGUUUCUUUCUUCCAAAACUAUUCACCAUUGUUGCAGCAACAAGGAAAAGCAGAUCCUGCAGAAACUGUGCUCAUAGGCAAGGCCAGAGUGACAGUGCAGCGCGCGCGAGAUUCCUUGCUUGACUGCUGGUUUGUGAGGCC